rnacentral:lncRNA from 1 species
UCCGUUGUGUAAAUGCACCACAUUUUUUGUAUCCAUUCCUCUGUUGAGGGAUAUCUGGGUUCUUUCCAGCUUCUGGCUAUUAUAAAUAUGGCUGCUAUGAACAAAAUGGAGCAUGUGUCCUUGUUACAUGUUGGAGCAUCUUCUGGGUAUAUGCCCAGGAGUGGUAGACUUGGGUUCUCAGGUAGUACUUUGUCCAAAUUUCUGAGGAACCGCCAGACUGAUUUCCAGAGUGUUUGUACCAGCUUGCGAUCCCACCAGCAAUGGAGGAGUGUUCCUCUUUCUCCACAUCCUUGCCAGCAUCUGCUGUCACCUAAGUUUUUGAUCUUAGCCAUUCUGACUGGUAUGAGAUAGAAUCUCAGGGUUGUUUUGAUUUGCAUUUCCCUGAGGACUAAGGGUAUUGAACAUUUCUUUAGGUUCUUCUAGGCCAUUUAAGUUUCCUCAGUUGAGAAUUCUGUUUAGCUCUGUUUCCCAUUUUUAAUAAGGUUAGUUGGUUCUCUGGAGUCUAAGUUCUUGAAGGGUGUUUUAUUAUAGAUUCAUAAGUGAUAGCUCAAAAACAAUAAAGGAUAACUCCUGUGUAGCAGGAAUGAGUGUCCCAAAAGGUGAUCCCAACAAAACAUAUUCUGGAGGAUUUUUUUUAAUGGUACGGAAAGCAGAACCUAGGUUGAGGCACAGGGCCUGUUUGGUCCCAUUAAUCUGCUCAUAACGUAUUCAGAUGGCUUCUCUUAGGUUUGUACAUGUCCUCCAUAUGGAUUCUUGGAAGACAUGGUUCUGUAGCUGGAAGAGAGAUAAUGAGAAAACAAAUUCCUUUCUGGUAUCUGUGACCUUAUUCCAGGGUGGAACCCAGGACCUUUUGUUCUACUGCCCAAUAGCAAGAGUCUUAUGAUGUCCCUAAUUCAAACUCCCUGAUGGAUUUUUUUUUUUAUCAGUGUUAGUAAGAAAAAGAGAUCUAGCUUUAGGAAGCCCACUAUAAACAGCCUUUGUGAUUCCAUCUGACAGGCUAGUCCCACAGAAAUAUAUCUGAAUAUUGCUAUUAAGCCCUCUUCAAUAGGUACCAUUUAUGCAACCAAUAUCAUGGGAAGCUGACCAUUAUAAAUAUUUCUUCUGUAACUGAGAUGCAUUUAUAACUUUUCCAGCCCCCUCCAAACAAUCUGUCAGAAACUAGAAAUAAAAAUUAAAGGCAAUCAGACUAUCUUGUGAGGAGUACAAGUUCAAUGUUCUAUCUAGAUGUUGUUAAAGGAUGGCUCCAUCCAUGUCUUUUCCCUCUUCUGUGCACCUGUUUGCACAGAUAAGAGCUACUCAAAGUUAGUUGGGUCCCUAUAUUUAGCAACAGGCCAACUUGCUAUCCGUUAGUGUCUAAUUUGAAAUCAUUUGAAUUUAAACAUCUAAAUCAGAAAAGAUGACUCCGGGCACUACUCUCCUCAUCCUUAGCACUCUUAAUCAGUCUCGUUCAGUUUCUAUGUAUAGCAGGUGCAGAUUUUAUUCUUUGAAUCCCUAGCCUCUAAAAUAGAGUACUUUUACUUUUUGUUCCUUUUACCAGAAAAUAUUAUAAAUAACAUCCAGUAACAGCAGAGACAAAACUCCCUUCUUUCUAACCCUUCCAUUAUUAUCUUUAGAAAUAUCUGAAGAGAAAUGCCAUCUAGGAUCAGAAAGGACAGAUGUGUGAUAAGAUCCCUGCUCCUCUUUUGCUCUAGACCACGCCCCUCUUGCUAUAGUUACAAGAGAUAAAUAGAUAUAUAGAUGCAAGAGAAAUCAUAUAGGGUUGUAACGCAUCAGUUCAUAGAGAUAUUCUUUUCAAAUAUUUGCUUAGCAUGUAUGAGGCAUUGGGCUUAUCUCAAUAUCUUCUCACACAACACAGUUCUGAUAUUUUAAGAAGACAGGUCCAGGAAGAUGGUUCAGCAGGUAAUGGUGGUUGCUACUAACCCUGAUGAUUUGAGUUUGAUCCCUGGAACUAACACUGUGGAGAAAGAGAGCUGAAUCCUUUAGGUUAUCCUCUGAUAUCCACUUGCAUAUUAUGGCUCAUGCACACUUAUGUAUACACACUCAUUUGUAAACAAUAUAUAUAUAUAAUUUUAAAAUAAAAUAGACUGAUAUUAAAAGUUUUAUUAAUUGCCUGAAUUGCUUAAGCAGAGAAAACUGACAGUCUGAGCAAAACAGAUCCUAUAAUCACACAGUUUUCUUUCUUACUAAGAGAGUCCAUGACAUACACAUAUACAUCUUAUUUCUGACUUCCAUGUACACUUUUUAAAUACAUUUGAAUCUUGCAAUUGCUUUGCAAAUCUGUUGCUUCAAAGCAUGUCAUGAAAAACAAUUACCAGCUCACUCUUGCCCCAAACUAAUGAAUUCAUGUUGCAAAUCACAACUUGUUUGCUAAAGGUCAAGGUCACUAACUAUCCAUUAACUCUGAAAACUGUUAAAGGAAAUAUGAAAAGAAAGCAGUUUGCUGAGUGCUCUCAAGAUCAACUCAUGCCAGUUACAUGAAAUACAUUGAAUUUAUAUAUUUAUUGCAAUUUGAUAUGAGAAAUAGUGCAAGUAAAAGCAUUUGGAACUGAAUAACUGUAACCACCCAAAACUGUCGUCAUUGUCACGAGAAUCCAUUGUUUCAACUUCUAUCUACAGACUUGUCCUUAAUUGAAUCUAUUUGGUCUGUUCAUGAGACACUUCAAACUACACAGGAUAAUCUUUGAGUUUUAUACAUUUUUUAUAUUCAAGAGUAGGGCUGCUACAUAUUAAACAUCAACAGAAACACAAAUCUCACUCAGAUGUCAGGUGUAGAUUAGAGAUGGAUACAGCCAAGGAGAACAAGUUGGUAAGACAUAUGUUGAGUACCAAAUAAAAUGGGUCUCCAAGAUUAUGCCUGAGGUUUGUAAAGCAAAGCUAAUGAAGCCAAUUUCCACUUUAAAAGGCAUAACUUAGAUUGUUAGAUAAGCAGCUAGGAGCUUUCUGCAGGUUUUUCUACUGAGGAAGACUUGCAGCUCUAUAAAUUAUUUAUGUUCCCAAAAUAUACCGUGUGGGUCAAGGUAAGCUAGCCAAAUUAACAAAUUAAAUAAUGGAUAGUGUUCUCCUGCCUAGAACACUAUUGACAGGAAAUGUUAAUCUGGUAUCCCCUCUAUCCUUGCCACAUUCCUUUGAAACAAAGGUCUCCCUUAAUGAGGGGAUGACUAGGUAAAUAAAAUGCAUAAUCAACAGCGAUGCUUGAUAAUUUCUUCAGAAUGGGAGCAUAUGCCCUAUUGUCUCAGAUGCCAAAGGAGGAUUUGUCAGUAAAAGUCACCUUUUAUCAUACAAGCUUUAGUCUAUUUAUAGGAAGCAGUGAUCACUUUUACAUAUUUUCUUUUGCCCCAGUAGGUAUGAAUUUCUUUCCAAUGGCCACUGCUCCUCCUGUCGGGCUUUGUGAAGAACAAACUGUGAUGAUGCAGAGGAGUGAUUUAUUUCAGGCAAGCUUACAUGAUCCUCGGAGGCUGAGAGUCAUGCCUCUGUGCUGGUCCAUUUAAUGUUAGAGACCAGCACUGCAUUCAGUGCAGCCAAGUUCCUGAUCUCCUCAAUUUGGCAUUAGAUUUUCAAAAUUAUAUGCAACAGGUUUCUAUGAGAUUAGGAUCGACCAAUAGCGACCAGUUCAUAAAUCAGACAGAGGGUUAGAACAGCCACGAGCCAGUAAGUCCUCAGGACUUGGCAGUUGUGGUGCAUGUUUAGGCAUUCAUCAUGUAUGUCUCAGGAUUUAGGGCAUCUGCACUGCUAGCUGCUCUGUGUACAACAGGACAGAUUUUCAAUGGGCCAGCUCAGGAUAGGAAGUAAGAGAAGCCACUGUAUUCAGUACAGCAGUCACUUUCUUUGUUCUUCAUAAACUCCUGUGGGACUUAGCAGUAGCCAUUUAAAAGAAGAAAUUUCUAUCUGUUGGGAGUAAUCAUUUCUUAUUGUAAAUAAACUAAAGCUUUUAUGAUGAAAGGUGAUUUUUACUAACAAUUAUAAUAGAUAAUAAUGCCAUUUGUAAUAUGUAUCUUAAGGAGAAAGCAUUGUGCCAUUGGUGAAUUGGAUACAAAUGAAGGGAAGGAAGCACUCUAUUUAGAACUGUAGAAAAUGUAGGAUUAACUACCCUUGCAGUUCCUCCUAAAAGUCAUGAUUUUGAUCAGGUCGGGUGCUUUUUACUUAAAUUAACACAAAUGUCAAAACUUACUUAAAAGUGAAUCAUAUCCAAGUGCUAUUAAGAAUGUAAUGUUCCAUUUAACAAUUUCGGCUUACCUCUUUUCUUCUUUAACAUUACAUUAAAAUAUUAUGCAGCAGAAAUAGUGAGUUCCUUGAUUUCCUUAAUCAUCUUCUACAGUGCGGAAUUUAUCAACUAUCUUAUAUUAUCUUGGGAGCUCCAGCCCCAGCACUGUGUGAAUUAUGUGGCAUAUGUGGCAUAUAUUGGGUAUGGUGGUACAUAUCUGUGCUCCCAGCACAUGGAAGGGAGAGGCAGGUAGACCUGUAAUUCAAGGUCAUCCUCUGCUAAAUAUUGAGUUUGGAUACAGUCUAAGCUACAGAAAACCUUUCUCAACAAAUAAACAAACCAAAACUCCCAUAUUAGGGUAGGUGCAGAAGUCCUGCUGAAUGGUCGGCAUGGCCGAGUGAGAUCCCGGAUGCUGCAGCCUUCCUCCAAGAAUUUUGGAGACCAGAGCCAUGCUUUACAAAGUUAAGUGAUUUGAUGGGGUCAUCUAUUCAAAGUUAAUAAAAGCAGGAAGCAAUUUAAAUGCCCUAAGGGAAGAACAGGUCCAUAUAUCAACAAAACAACAAUUUAGACAAAGUAGCUACUGUCAAUAAAUCUAAAAGCAAUAUUCAGAGUAAUGAGAAGCAAUUACUGGAAUGAGCAGUAGCAGAUCCACUCUCCAAACUCUGCUUUGCCAUUUGCCAUUAACAGGCAUUUUGGUCUUGAAAGAAAAGCACUCAAUUCAGCUUAAAAAUGAGAGUAUCUCUCUGGCCACUGCCACUGAAUCACAAAUAUCCAAGUUGCAUGACUCAUGAAUUUCAGGAUGCCUUUCUUGAUAUUUUGUGGUGCGGAAUGGGGGCCAUGCAGUAGCAUCAAGUGUCUGACAAACUGAUAGCAAGACCCCAUUGUUGGACACAACACCUACACAACUUAUUUAAUAUGGAGAGAGCAAUCUGGUGCCUAUAUAGAUAGCUCAACCCUAAGUGUAAGCAUCUUUGGCACAGGAAGGUACUUAGCAUGCUACCAACAGGGAAACACAAACACCAGGCUAGUCACAAACACUUUGUUUGAUAGGUAAUGGUGAUCUGAUAGAUAUGCUAUGGAAUGGUAGCACAGAGCUUGUGGGAAUAACCAGUCAUCUGAUUUGACAUCAAGGCCUAUUCCAAGAGAGGCAGCCCACACCUAACCCUGCUUGGUUCUCCAAAAACUAGAUAGCCCAAGGAUUUAGGAUAAAGCCAAAUACUACUGUUCUAAAAACAAACAAAC